rnacentral:lncRNA from 1 species
GUGGUCAUUGGGUCGAUGACACUUACAAGGGUGGUGAGACAUGAGUGAGGGGAGUUGGGAGUGAUUUGUCAUUUUCGGGACUAGUGAAGCUGGUUGAAGAGGUUGUUGCAACUCACAUAAUAAUGAAAUCGAGCUACAUGCAUAUCUCAGCCAUGUCGUAGGGGUUUCGCUCGUAGUUAUCAGGGAUGAUGAAGAUGUAGCGAGUAUUUUGUGAGAUGAGAGGGCAGUUGUUGUGUUUGUGAUAGUGAAGGCAGAAAAUGCAAACAAUAUUCCACAUGAGCACGGUAUCCAACAUAGUA